AUUGAACGCUGGCGGCAGGCCUAACACAUGCAAGUCGAGCGGAUGAAGGGAGCUUGCUCCUGGAUUCAGCGGCGGACGGGUGAGUAAUGCCUAGGAAUCUGCCUGGUAGUGGGGGAUAACGUCCGCAAACGGGCGCUAAUACCGCAUACGUCCUGAGGGAGAAAGUGGGGGAUCUUCGGACCUCACGCUAUCAGAUGAGCCUAGGUCGGAUUAGCUAGUUGGUGGGGUAAAGGCCUACCAAGGCGACGAUCCGUAACUGGUCUGAGAGGAUGAUCAGUCACACUGGAACUGAGACACGGUCCAGACUCCUACGGGAGGCAGCAGUGGGGAAUAUUGGACAAUGGGCGAAAGCCUGAUCCAGCCAUGCCGCGUGUGUGAAGAAGGUCUUCGGAUUGUAAAGCACUUUAAGUUGGGAGGAAGGGCAGUAAGUUAAUACCUUGCUGUUUUGACGGUACCAACAGAAUAAGCACCGGCUAACUUCGUG
rnacentral:rRNA from 1 species